ACCUUAAAUAUAUCUGGGAUGGAACAAUAUUGCGAAGAAAGGGAAAUAUGGUCGUUGGCAGCAAUACAGAUCUCAGGAGGGAUCUUCUCCAAUAUUUCCAUAAUAGUCCAUUGGGGGGCCACUCUAGAAUACCUGCCACAUGACAUUGCAUCUCCAGUUUAGUUUACUGGAACGGUCUAUUAAAAAGAUCUUAAGAACUGGAUGCAGGAGUGUUUAACUUGUCAAAUAUGCAAAGUAGACCUCGCAACCUCCUCUGGUCUCCUUCAGCCUCUACCAAUCCCCGAUCAGGCUUGGUCUGCCAUUAGUAUGGACUUUAUUGAGGGAUUACCCCCAUCCAAGGGAAAGAACACAAUAAUGGUCGUGGUUAACCAACUC
rnacentral:lncRNA from 1 species